rnacentral:hammerhead_ribozyme from 1 species
ACGUCACUGAUGAGUCUUAUAUGUAGACGAAACGCGCGUCUGGCGU